UUGGAGGGCAAGUCUGGUGCCAGCAGCCGCGGUAAUUCCAGCUCCAAUAGCGUAUAUUAAAGUUGUUGCAGUUAAAAAGCCCGUAGUUGAAUUUCGGGAUCAGUAUGUUGGUCGUGCUUCGGUACGUACUGUCAUUACUGGUUUCUCCCUUCUGAAGAACCUUGAUGUCAUUAAUUUGGUGUCUUGGGGAAUCAGGACUGUUACUUUGAAAAAAUUAGAGUGUUUAAAGCAGGCAUACGCUUGAAUACAUUAGCAUGGAAUAAUGAAAUAGGACGUUUGAUUCUAUUUUGUUGGCUUCUAGGAUCGACGUAAUGAUUAAUAGGGAUAGUUGGGGGCAUUAGUAUUCAAUUGUCAGAGGUGAAAUUCUUGGAUUUAUUGAAGACUAACUACUGCGAAAGCAUUUGCCAAGGAUGUUUUCAUUAAUCAAGAACGAAAGUUAGGGGAUCGAAGACGAUCAGAUACCGUCGUAGUCUUAACCAUAAACUAUGCCGACUAGGGAUCGGAUGAUGUUAUUUUUAAUGACUCAUUCGGCGCCUUACGGGAAAC
rnacentral:rRNA from 1 species